rnacentral:tmRNA from 1 species
GUUCUGACUGAUCAUCGGAACAUUUACAAGAAAUGUACAAUGUGUAUGAAAUAAUCUGUCUGGACAGGGGUUCGACUCCCCUCACGUCCACUGGGCAUCCUCUACGCUAUUGUGUAGAUUCCAUUUGAACAACCUAGGCAUGUUGUAAAACUGCCUACACGGGCGUGUUUGGUUUUGACAGACAGAGGAGAUAAAUACAUUAAGCACUAUACUAUAAAUUAAACGACAAUGUAAAUAACAUUGUAGACUAUACUAACGUAGCGUAAGUUUAGUCUAGGUGUUUCCUACCAAAGUGGAGAGAAGAAGAAGUUGGUUCUUUGGGCUACACACCCGAGGAUUAGGGUUCGACUCCCUAGC